rnacentral:lncRNA from 1 species
CUCAACUCCAUCUCUUUCUCUUCUUCUCAUUCCAGCAUAACUCCACACAGGAUCAUCUUAAACAUCUCACAUUCCCCUCCUCUGAUGGCAUGUACCAGAGAUGCCCACAAACCAACAAAAUAGAAAAGCAUGUAAAGAAAAAUCCAAGAACUAUAAGCAGGAGCAGAACGAAAGUCAUCAUCAAUUUUCAGUGUAGAAAUCAACUCAUAGGCAAACUAUCACGUAAAUUUUAACAUUUGAGCCACCAACUUACAGAUAAACAUGAAUUAAAAUGUAGUAGCAAACAAAAGUAAGGAGUUAAAUACAGAUCUAAAAGUUGGAAAUUACAGAUCCAAUCUAGAUCUAUAAUCUGAAUACAAAAUUUCUAAAUAUUUUCUGCAAAAUCCGACGCAGAAACUAGUUUUUCUCUACCAAGAAUAUUACAGUUCAAUUAAAUUGAAUAACUGAUUCACAUCAAAUAUAGAAGCUCCAAACCAACCUCAUAAUCAUGUGUCCAAAUCAAAUGGAUCCGACUACACACGAGCAGCAACAGCCGGCGCAGCAGCAGCGGCGGCAGAUGAAGCAGCACCACCGAGGAACGACAGGAAUCCAACGUUGGC